rnacentral:tRNA from 1 species
GUAGUCGUGGCCGAGUGGUUAAGGCGACAGACUUGAAAUCAGUUGGGAUAUUCCCGCGCAGGUUCAAAUCCUGCCGACUACA